AUGAAUCAAUGCAACCGUUUUAGAAAUGCUACUGUCCUAUACUUUGUUUUCCACCAAGAUAAGGGAGAUGCUUCUUUUUGUGGCCGCAUGUUUCAUCCUCCUUUAUUGGCAGUAAUUGUUUCCUUUUUUGCCUCUGUUAAAUCAGGGAUAUCUAUUCAACUUGUUGCUAUAGCAAACUUAAAUUUCUCACCGGCGACUUUACUUGAUUUCAGAGUAACUGCACAAAACGGGAUUGGAUUUCCUAUUCGUGUUGGCAGAUUCGUACGUGAUCUUGUGUGCGUCAUGACAGGUUGGUACUUGCCUUCAUCCACAUGA
rnacentral:rRNA from 1 species